GGGUCAGUAGGUUGGUCGUGCCACCGGUACGUACUGGUCUCGCUGAUUCCUCCUUCCUGAAGAACCGUAAUGCCAUUAAUUUGGUGUUGCGGGGAAACAGGACUGUUACUUUGAAAAGAUUAGAGUGUUUAAAGCAAGCUAACGCUCGAAUACAUUAGCAUGGAAUAAUGAAAUAGGACGAUCGAUCCUAUUUUGUUGGUUUCUAGGAUUGACGUA
rnacentral:rRNA from 1 species